AUUCAGAGCAUUCCAAAGCAGUUUGAUAUUAGCCAGCAACUUCAUCAUAUUGAUCGAUGAGAGAGAGCUCAUAUUGAUUGAUGUAUCAGACAUACACAAUAUAUCAUCAUUUGGAAUGUACGAUGAGAUCAUAUAGUUUAUGGUGAUCAUAUAUUGGGAGAUCAUUCAUAUAUCGAGGACUACAUGACUUGAUUUCUUAGUAUUACAGUAUCGAU
rnacentral:lncRNA from 1 species